AGUCGGAGCAAACAUUCAAUAACUAAAACUUUCAACAACGGAUCUCUUGGUUCUGGCAUCGAUGAAGAACGCAGCGAAAUGCGAUAAGUAAUGUGAAUUGCAGAAUUCAGUGAAUCAUCGAAUCUUUGAACGCACAUUGCGCCCCUUGGUAUUCCGAGG
rnacentral:rRNA from 1 species